rnacentral:misc_RNA from 1 species
GGUGAGGGCUGACCAUAGUGAGGAGGCGGUCUAGCAAUAUUGUUUUGGUAAGGAACGCCUCCAGCAGGUCGAGCUGGGGCAAGGAUCUGUGCUGGAGGAUGCAUUGGAAUUUGGGGACGAUUUAUAGGAGUCAAAGGCGGUGGCCGAAUCUUUUGUAAUCUCAUACUCGGAGGCUUAGAAGGAUUCUGGGGAGGUUUAGAUGGAGGCUCUUGAGAUGGUGAACCUGUCAGUUGCUGAACAACACUCCGAAAAUCAUUCUUGUUAAUAUUGUAAACCUGAGGUUGAGGUUGUUGCCUAGCACUAUUUGCAUUGUUAAAAUUAGGUUGGUGUAUAGGACUCUUGUUGAUAUUCUUCCCAAAUUUAUUCACACCCAAAUGAUCAGCAUUCCUAUUGUACGACCGAUUUGAAUUAUCCAUCUCAGACACUUCAAUAAAAUGACUAAACUCCAAAAUAUACUAUCGUUAACACCCUACUCAAC